rnacentral:rRNA from 1 species
GAUGAACGCUGGCGGCGUGCCUAAUACAUGCAAGUCGAGCGAACGGACGAGAAGCUUGCUUCUCUGAUGUUAGCGGCGGACGGGUGAGUAAUACGUGGAUAACCUACCUAUAAGACUGGGAUAACUUCGGGAAACCUGAGCUAAUACCGGAUAAUAUUUUGAACCGCAUGGUUCAAAAGUGAAAGACGGUCUUGCUGUCACUUAUAGAUGGAUCCGCGCUGCAUUAGCUAGUUGGUAAGGUAACGGCUUACCAAGGCAACGAUGCAUAGCCGACCUGAGAGGGUGAUAGGCCACACUGGAACUGAGACACGGUCCAGACUCCUACGGGAGGCAGCAGUAGGAAAUCUUCCGCAAGGGGCGAAAGCCUGACGGAGCAACGCCGCGUGAGGGAUGAAGGUCUUCGGAUCGUAAAACUCUGUUAUUAGGAAAGAACAUAUGUGUAAGUAACUGUGCACAUCUUGACGGUACCUAAUCAGAAAGCCACGGCUAACUACGU